rnacentral:rRNA from 1 species
UACGGAGGGUGCGAGCGUUGUCCGGAAUUACUGGGCGUAAAGGGCGCGUAGGCGGUCUUGUAAGUCCGACGUGAAAUCCCCAGGCUUAACCUGGGAACUGCGUCGGAUACUGGAUGGCUUGAAUCCGGGAGAGGGAUGCAGAAUUCCAGGUGUAGCGGUGAAAUGCGUAGAUAUGUGGAGGAAUACCAAUGGCGAAGGCAGCCCCCUGGGAUAAUAUUGACGCUCAUGCACGAAAGCGUGGGGAGCAAACAGG